rfam:HIV-1 strain GR11 complete genome.
UUUUUUAGGGAGAAUGUGGCCUUCCAGCAAAGGAAGGCCGGGGAAUUUUCUU